ensembl:snoRNA SNORA73 Small nucleolar RNA SNORA73 family
CCGACGUGGUCAUCCAGCGAGGUUGCUCUCCUGGCUCUGUCCUGGUGGCGUAUGGGAGCGUAGCCUUUUUGGGCUGAGACGUACAUUCCCGUUCCACAACGUCGGAGACUAAGCUCCGUCCCCGGCUGCUGGUCGGUCGGUGAGGACGGGGCGUCCUGCAUAUUCCUACAUCUUCCCAGAGUCCCUUUGGGGCUGUUACUGGGGGGCUAAACCAUGCAGUGUACAAAC